rnacentral:SRP_RNA from 1 species
CCCGGAAGUCGGUGGACGUGCCGCUCGCCAACCCGGUCAGGUCGGGAACGAAGCAGCCGUAACGAAUCCGGCGCGGGUCAUCGGCUUCCACCUCG